AACGGUCUAUACCUGCGGUACCUGCGGAGGGAUCAUUACCGAGUUAUCAACUCCCAAACCCCUGUGAACAUACCCGAACGUUGCCUCGGCGGGACCGCCCCGGCGCCCCUAGCGGCCCGGAACCAGGCGCCCGCCGGAGGACCCAAACUCUUGCUUUAGACAGUGGCAUACUCUCUGAGUCUCACAAACAAAAAAUAAAUCAAAACUUUCAGCAAUGGAUCUCUAGAUCGGAAGAGCACA
rnacentral:misc_RNA from 1 species